CUGCCCAAGCCGAAGGA
rnacentral:misc_RNA from 1 species